GGUAGAGGUCUGGACACAGCGAGACUCACCUGGGUGUCACAAGGCUGAAAUCAAGGUUGGCAGCAGUUACAGCGAAGCUGGGCAGCUACCAGACAAUAGGAGAGUGGGGCAGAGACUACCUGGAGAGUAAAAACGCAGCAACGGUUGUGACUAACAGUCCUUGCUGAGGCAGCACCGAGUGUGGCCAAGGCAGAUAUAAGGAGCGAACCCUGUCUUUGGCAACAAGAAGAAACGAAAUACUGACCCGUGUUG